CGGUGUUCCUUCGCAGUUGAGCGGCUGGCUCCUGGCUGAACGAAGGCCACCGGGGGAAUGGCGCUGAGGUGCAGGACAGUUGUGUCCACCGCGGAAGACACCUCCGGAUGAUGCCGGCUGGGAGGAAGCACCUGGAGAAAGCUGAGAAGGCCUCGAGGGAGGCUGAGGACAUGGCAGCCUGUGACCCUGGCAUGCAAGAGUGGAGAGAGCUCAUGGGGCUAGAGGAGGGCCCCGAAGCAAAAUCCAUGUGUGUGGGAAGCAGUUUCGUGUACUGGAGGUCGCCCACCUGAUCCUCCUGUCCCAGACCAGGAUCACAGAAGCUGUACAGAAGCUUCCUGAUCACAAGAGCUGAUUACAGAAGCAGCUCUGCUGCCCAGGGGGUUAGAGUGCCUAGAGUUCUGCGGGAUUCCCAGCUGCUGGGCUAAGUGUCCCGGGAUGCUUCCAUCCAGCUUUGGGGUCCCUGUCCCUUUAAGACUUUCAAAAAGCACUCGCUUUUCUUUGUCCCUGGGGUGCUGGCUGCGGGGACCCGCUCACAAGUCUUGCUGUCCUGUUUCCCUAGUUUUCAGGACCCCACGCACACACUGUGUCUGCGCUCUGGUGCAGAUGGCUAGGGCUUGGUGUUUAGCAGUCCUGGGCUCCCUCUCCCUCCCCGCUCCAACUCCUCUCCUCCCACCGGGAGCUGGGGUGAGGGGCGCUCGGGUCCCGCCGGGCCGCGGCUUGUAUCUUACCCCCUUCGCUAGGCACUGGGUUCUCACAGGUGUGGAUGUAGUCUGGCUGUUGUCUGUCUUCUGGUCUCUCUUUUAGGGAGAGUUGUAUUUGUUGUAUUUUCAAAAAUAUGUGUGGUUUUGGGAGGAGAUUUCCUCUGCUCUACUCUUGCCGCCAUCUUAGCUCCUCCCUCUAAGUAACUUUAAAUAAAACUUUUACUCUGCUUCAUUACUAUUUCUCUGCCCUUCAAUUCUUUGUUGCAGCAGGGACAUGAACCGAGGAAAAUAUACAACGCUCCCCCGUAACAGAUAUUCUCCAUCAGAUUAGAAAGACUUUUUUGUAGAUAGACUCUAUCAGAUUAGGAGA